GAUGAACGCUGGCGGCGUGCCUAAUACAUGCAAGUCGAACGCUGGAAAUCUAGCUUGCUCGAUUGAAGGAGUGGCGAACGGGUGAGUAAUACAUAAGCAACCUACCCACGAAGACUGGGAUAAUCUCUGGAAACGGGGACUAAUACCGGAUAGGUAAUCGGAAGGCAUCUUCUGAUUAUUAAAGGUUAAAAACACUGGUGGAUGGGCUUAUGGCGCAUUAGUUAGUUGGUGAGGUAACGGCCCACCAAGACGAUGAUGCGUAGCCGGCCUGAGAGGGUGAACGGCCACAUUGGGACUGAGACACGGCCCAGACUCCUACGGGAGGCAGCAGUAGGGAAUGUUCGGCAAUGGGGGAAACCCUGACCGAGCAACGCCGCGUGAGUGAUGACGGCCUUCGGGUUGUAAAGCUCUGUUGUAAGGGAAGAACGGUAGAUAGAGAAUAUCUAAAUGACGGUACCUUACCAGAAAGCCACGGCUAACUACGUG
rnacentral:rRNA from 1 species